AUCCUUUGCAUUUCUGUUCUGUAAAAACUGUAAUCCUUAUUCUGCCAGCUUCGGAGUCGGGAGGGAAAGCAAGCCUGGCAGAGGUACCCAUUCCAUUCCCAGUUUGCUCAGUAUCUGGUGAUUGGAAGACACUCUGCAACAAGA
rnacentral:snoRNA from 1 species